rnacentral:lncRNA from 1 species
GAGGGGUACCUUGCCUGGGCUGAUUGGAGACUGAGUUGAAGCUGAAGCAGGACCUGGAGCAGGGAUUGGAGUAGGAGAGGUUCGGCUACUAAUCUCUUUCUGCGCACACUCUCUUCCAACCUGCGAACGGAUUUUCUCCUCUGCGGUAGCUUCAUUUUGGGAGCCAUUUGCACCAGAAGGACUUGCAUGGAGCUUUGGAGACUAAAUGUGAGGCAGAGAGGAAAGGAUUUUGGAAGGAAAAAGGCAAGGAUUUGAAGAGUUAAAUCACCGGUUUGGAGAAGAGGGGAUGAUUCUAGGGUAAGCUCGAACCGCCCCAA